rnacentral:rRNA from 1 species
UACGUAGGGGGCUAGCGUUGUCCGGAAUCAUUGGGCGUAAAGCGCGUGUAGGCGGUCCGGUAAGUCCGCUGUGAAAGUCGGGGGCUCAACCCUCGGAUGCCGGUGGAUACUGUCGGGCUCGAGUACGGAAGAGGCGAGUGGAAUUCCUGGUGUAGCGGUGAAAUGCGCAGAUAUCAGGAGGAACACCAAUUGCGAAGGCAGCUCGCUGGGACGUCACUGACGCUGAGACGCGAAAGCGUGGGGAGCGAACAGG